rnacentral:tRNA from 1 species
GCCCCUGUCGUCUAGUGGAUAUGACACAGGCCUCCGGAGAGUAUUCGGAGUGAGCCUGAAACCCGGGUUCGAAUCCCGGCAGGGGCA